rnacentral:rRNA from 1 species
AGUUUGAUCCUGGCUCAGAUUGAACGCUGGCGGCAUGCUUUACACAUGCAAGUCGAACGGUAACAGGGUGCUUGCACCGCUGACGAGUGGCGAACGGGUGAGUAAUGCGUCGGAAUGUACCGUGUAAUGGGGGAUAGCUCGGCGAAAGCCGGAUUAAUACCGCAUACGCCCUGAGGGGGAAAGCGGGGGAUCGAAAGACCUCGCGUUAUACGAGCAGCCGACGUCUGAUUAGCUAGUUGGUGAGGUAAGAGCUCACCAAGGCGACGAUCAGUAGCGGGUCUGAGAGGAUGAUCCGCCACACUGGGACUGAGACACGGCCCAGACUCCUACGGGAGGCAGCAGUGGGGAAUUUUGGACAAUGGGGGCAACCCUGAUCCAGCCAUGCCGCGUGUCUGAAGAAGGCCUUCGGGUUGUAAAGGACUUUUGUCAGGGAGGAAAUCCCGCUGGUUUAAUACCCGGCGGGGAUGACA